GCAGGUGGCAAGCGUUGUCCGGAAUUAUUGGGCGUAAAGCGCGCGCAGGCGGUUCUUUAAGUCUGAUGUGAAAGCCCACGGCUCAACCGUGGAGGGUCAUUGGAAACUGGAGAACUUGAGUACAGAGGAGGAAAGCGGAAUUCCACGUGUAGCGGUGAAAUGCGUAGAGAUGUGGAGGAACACCAGUGGCGAAGGCGGCUUUCUGGUCUGUAACUGACGCUGAGGCGCGAAAGCGUGGGGAGCAAACAGGAUUAGAUACCCUGGUAGUCCACGCCGUAAACGAUGAGUGCUAAGUGUUAGGGGGUUUCCGCCCCCCUUAGUGCUGCAGCUAACGCAUUAAGCACUCCGCCUGGGAGUACGGCCGCAAGGCUG
rnacentral:rRNA from 1 species